rnacentral:rRNA from 1 species
GAUGAACGCUGGCGGCGUGCUUAACACAUGCAAGUCGAACGGAAAGGCCAGUGCUUGCACUGGUACUCGAGUGGCGAACGGGUGAGUAACACGUGGGUUAUCUGCCCUGUACUUCGGGAUAAGCUUGGGAAACUGGGUCUAAUACCGGAUAGGACAACUUUUUGUAUAUUGUUGUGGAAAGCUUUUGCGGUAUGGGAUGAGCUCGCGGCCUAUCAGCUUGUUGGUGGGGUAAUGGCCUACCAAGGCGUCGACGGGUAGCCGGCCUGAGAGGGUGUCCGGCCACAUUGGGACUGAGAUACGGCCCAGACUCCUACGGGAGGCAGCAGUGGGGAAGAUUGCACAAUGGGCGCAAGCCUGAUGCAGCGACGCCGCGUGGGGGAUGAAGGCCUUCGGGUUGUAAACUCCUUUCGCUAGGGACGAAGCGUAAGUGACGGUACCUGGAGAAGAAGCACCGGCUAACUACGUG